rnacentral:rRNA from 1 species
GGGCGUAAAGCGAGCGCAGGCGGAAAAAUAAGUCUAAUGUGAAAGCCCUCGGCUUAACCGAGGAACUGCAUCGGAAACUGUUUUUCUUGAGUGCAGAAGAGGAGAGUGGAACUCCAUGUGUAGCGGUGGAAUGCGUAGAUAUAUGGAAGAACACCAGUGGCGAAGGCGGCUCUCUGGUCUGCAACUGACGCUGAGGCUCGAAAGCAUGGGUAGCGAACAGGAUUAGAUACCCUGGUAGUCCAUGCCGUAAACGAUGAGUGCUAAGUGUUGGGAGGUUUCCGCCUCUCAGUGCUGCAGCUAACGCAUUAAGCACUCCGCCUGGGGAGUACGACCGCAAGGUUGAAACUCAAAGGAAUUGACGGGGGCCCGCACAAGCGGUGGAGCAUGUGGUUUAAUUCGAUGCAACGCGAAGAACCUUACCAGGUCUUGACAUCUAGUGCAAUCUGUAGAGAUACGGAGUUCCCUUCGGGGACGCUAAGACAGGUGGUGCAUGGCUGUCGUCAGCUCGUGUCGUGAGAUGUUGGGUUAAGUCCCGCAACGAGCGCAACCCUUGUUAUUAGUUGCCAGCAUUAAGUUGGGCACUCUAAUGAGACUGCCGGUGACAAACCGGAGGAAGGUGGGGAUGACGUCAAGUCAUCAUGCCCCUUAUGACCUGGGCUACACACGUGCUACAAUGAGCAGUACAACGAGAAGCAAGCCUGCGAAGGCAAGCGAAUCUCUGAAAGCUGUUCUCAGUUCGGACUGCAGUCUGCAACUCGACUGCACGAAGCUGGAAUCGCUAGUAAUCGCG